GUUUGGACAGACAUAUCUCUCUUAUACCGACCUACUCUUAGCUGAUCUUCUAAACUUUUGCCAUCACUGUAACAGUUAAAAAAUAAAUGACAGUGGUGGUGGGCCUGAUCAACAACAACAAUGAUCAUGCCUACAUGAAUCAGGCAGAAGAUCGAGUAGGACAUAACAUUAAAUAAACACAACAAUGUCUGGUUUUUGAAAUGGAAUGGAAGGAUCAAUACCCCUCCCAUCAAUGGGGACCUGUCUGAAAGAGAUGGGUGGGGGUAUGGGGUCUCUGCUGGUUCAACGGUCACUGACGAUCUAUUUGAAUGCUCCCACCUCCAGCUUAUAAAAAAUCAUAAAUACCAACAGGAAACCCCUUAGUUAAUUAAACUAUUUAUUUUAGCUAUGCCAAUACAGUUCAGAGAGCUCUCCCACUCUCACAUGUCUUCCUCUUCUCUUGGUUUUGGAAUGGAUAGUCUGGUCAGUUGUGCGUUGGAUUUGGGGGGCAACUUGUCAGACUGAUGUCAUACAAGC